GCCGGGCAGGGUGGUGCAUGCUUGUAAUCCCAGCUACUCAGGAGGCUGAGGCAGGAGAAUUGCUUGAACCCGGGAGGCGGAGGUUGCAGUGAGCCGAGAUUGUGCCACUGCACUCCAGCCUGGGUGACAGAGCGAAACUCCGCCUCAAAAAAAAAAAAACAAAACACUACCUAAGACUGGGUAAUUUGAGACAGGGUAUCACUCUGUCACCUAGGCGUGAGUGCAGUGGUAGAUCACUGCUCACUGCAGCCUCAACUUCCUGGGCUCAAGCAAUCCUCCUGCCUCA
rnacentral:sRNA from 1 species